rnacentral:rRNA from 1 species
GCAUAUCAAUAAGCGGAGGAAAAGAACCACCGGGAUUGCCUCAGUACCGGCGAGUGAAGCGGCAAGAGCUCAAAUUUGAAAGCUUGGCUCCUUCGGAGUCCGCAUUGUAAUUUGCAGAGGAUGCUUUGGGUGCGGCCCCCGUCUAAGUGCCCUGGAACGGGCCGUCAGAGAGGGUGAGAAUCCCGUCUUGGGCGGGGUGUCCGUGCCCGUGUAAAGCUCCUUCGACGAGUCGAGUUGUUUGGGAAUGCACCUCUAAAUGGGUGGUAAAUUUCAUCUAAACCUAAAUACUGGCCGGAGACCGAUAGCGCACAAGUAGAGUGAUCGAAAGAUGAAAAGCCCUUUGAAAAGAGAGUUAACCAGCCCGUGAAAUUGUUGAAAGGGAAGCGCUUGCGCCCAGAUUGCCCGCGGGGUUCAGCCGGCAUUCGUGCCGGUGUACUUCCCCGUGGCCGGCCCAGCGUCGGUUUGGCCGCCCGGUCAAAGGCCCCUGGAAGUGAUGAGGUCUCCGGGGCACCUUAUAGCCAGGGGUGCAAUGCGGCCAGCCUGGACCGAGGAACGCGCUUCGGCACGGACGCUGG